CCUGAUGCAGCGACGCCGCGUGAGGGAUGACGGCCUUCGGGUUGUAAACCUCUUUCAGCAGGGACGAAGCGUAAGUGACGGUACCUGCAGAAGAAGCACCGGCCAACUACGUGCCAGCAGCCGCGGUAAGACGUAGGGUGCGAGCGUUGUCCGGAUUUAUUGGGCGUAAAGAGCUCGUAGGCGGCUUGUCGCGUCGACCGUGAAAACUUGGGGCUCAACCCCAAGCCUGCGGUCGAUACGGGCAGGCUAGAGUUCGGUAGGGGAGACUGGAAUUCCUGGUGUAGCGGUGAAAUGCGCAGAUAUCAGGAGGAACACCGGUGGCGAAGGCGGGUCUCUGGGCCGAUACUGACGCUGAGGAGCGAAAGCGUGGGGAGCGAACAGGAUUAGAUACCCUGGUAGUCCACGCUGUAAACGUUGGGCGCUAGGUGUGGGGGGCCUCUCCGGUUCUCUGUGCCGCAGCUAACGCAUUAAGCGCCCCGCCUGGGGAGUACGGCCGCAAGGCUAAAACUCAAAGGAAUUGACGGGGGCCCGCACAAGCGGCGGAGCAUGCGGAUUAAUUCGAUGCAACGCGAAGAACCUUACCUGGGUUUGACAUGGCCGCAAAACUUGCAGAGAUGUAAGGUCCUUCGGGGG
rnacentral:rRNA from 1 species